rnacentral:rRNA from 1 species
CUUACGGGGGGCUGCAGUGGGGAAUAUUGGACAAUGGGGGGAACCCUGAUCCAGCCAUGCCGCGUGUGUGAAGAAGGCCCUCGGGUUGUAAAGCACUUUCAGUGAGGAAGAACGCCUGGUGGUUAAUACCCAUCAGGAAAGACAUCACUCACAGAAGAAGCACCGGCUAACUCCGUGCCAGCAGCCGCGGUAAUACGGAGGGUGCGAGCGUUAAUCGGAAUUACUGGGCGUAAAGCGCGCGUAGGUGGCUUGAUAAGCCGGUUGUGAAAGCCCCGGGCUCAACCUGGGAACGGCAUCCGGAACUGUCAAGCUAGAGUGCAGGAGAGGAAGGUAGAAUUCCCGGUGUAGCGGUGAAAUGCGUAGAGAUCGGGAGGAAUACCAGUGGCGAAGGCGGCCUUCUGGACUGACACUGACACUGAGGUGCGAAAGCGUGGGUAGCAAACAGGAUUAGAUACCCCAGUAGUCC